GAAACUGCUAAACUAGAGUACUGGAGAGGUAGGCGGAACUACAAGUGUAGAGGUGAAAUUCGUAGAUAUAUGUAGGAAUGCCGAUGGGGAAGCCAGCGUACUGGACAGAUACUGACGCUAAAGCGCGAAAGCGUGGGUAGCAAACAGGAUUAGAUACCCUGGUAGUGCACGCGGUAAACGAUGAUUAAUAGGUGUUGGGGGUCGAACCUCAGCGAACAAGCUAACGCGAUAAGUAAUCCGCGUGGGGAGUACGUACGCAAGUAUGAAACUCAAAGGAAUGGACGGGGACCUGCACAAGCGGUGGAGCAUGUGGUUUAAUUUGACGCAACGCGAGGAACAUUACCAGCGUUUGACAUGCCAAGAAGUUAACAGAGACGUGUUCGUGCCUGUUCGGAGGAACUCGGUGACAGGUGGUGCAUGGCUGUCGUCAGCUGGUGUCGUGAGAUGUUGGGUUAAGUCCCGCAACGAGCGCAACCCCUUUGGUAUGUUACCAUCAUUAAGUUGGGGACAUCAUGCGAGACUGCAUGAGAUUGAGCAGGAGGAAGGUGGGGAUGACGUCAAGUCAUCAUGCCCGUUAUACGAUGGAUUACACCCGUGGUGCAAUGGGUAGUACAGAGAGAUGCAAUCCUGCGAGGGUAAGUUAAUUUCAUAAAGAUAUUUUUAGUUUGGAUCGUACUAUGCAACUCGAGUACAUGAAGUUAGAAUCGGUAGUAAUCGCA
rnacentral:rRNA from 1 species